GGGAGUACUUUUUAAAAAUGUUAAUCCUGUGGUUGAAAUCAAUACCUCCUUGUGUGCUUAUUGUCAUUUGCUAGGAGAAAAACAAAUCUAACUGGAUGGCACCUUUAAUCACAAAGCUCCCUCACUCUAACCCUUUGUUUUAUUGUGUCCAGUACCGGCAGUAUGUCAUGCAGGACCUGUAACCCGCAGCAAUUAAAGCUUAAUGGGUGUUAGACUUUGUUUCAUUACCCAAGCAGCUGAAAUCUUCCUAAUCCUUUGAACCCCCCUGGUUCAAACAACCUGGGUGACACCGGCAUUAGCAGAGCUGGAAACCAUUGUCCAGGCCACAUAAAGAUGGCUACAAAGUCGGCCUUCUGUCACUUGAAGAACAUUUCCAGGAUUAAAGGACAAAAUGUCCCAACAUUCAUAGUUGAGUUAUUCUUUUUAGGAAGUCUUCACAGAUAUUCCUAAAAAGUCAAACCUCCAGCUGCAGCUGAUCCAGAAUGCUGCUGCUGGCCUUCUGACUAAAACUAGGAAAAUAGAGCACAUCACAUAGUUUUGCAUAGGAAUAAUUGUCCCAAAAUGCUUUUGAUUAAUAAUAAUUGGAACCUCAAUAAUUCAA